UCCUCGUUAGCUCAGCGGCAGAGCAUCCGGCUGUUAACCGGAGGGUCGUAGGUUCAAACCCUACACGGGGAGCCA
rnacentral:tRNA from 1 species